GGUCUUGUAGUUUAUAUUAAAAUGUUUAGUUGCAAACUUUGAGAAACAUGUGUUUGUUAAGACUU
rnacentral:tRNA from 1 species